AACGAACGCUGGCGGCAGGCUUAACACAUGCAAGUCGAGCGCCCUGCAAGGGGAGCGGCAGACGGGUGAGUAACGCGUGGGAAUCUACCCAUCACUACGGAACAACUCCGGGAAACUGGAGCUAAUACCGUAUACGUCCUUCGGGAGAAAGAUUUAUCGGUGAUGGAUGAGCCCGCGUUGGAUUAGCUAGUUGGUGGGGUAAUGGCCUACCAAGGCGACGAUCCAUAGCUGGUCUGAGAGGAUGAUCAGCCACACUGGGACUGAGACACGGCCCAGACUCCUACGGGAGGCAGCAGUGGGGAAUAUUGGACAAUGGGCGAAAGCCUGAUCCAGCCAUGCCGCGUGAGUGAUGACGGCCCUAGGGUUGUAAAGCUCUUUCGCAGGUGAAGAUAAUGACGGUAACCUGAGAAGAAGCCCCAGCUAACUUCGUGCCAGCCGCCGCCGUAACAC
rnacentral:rRNA from 1 species